UGGGGAAUAUUGCACAAUGGGCGCAAGCCUGAUGCAGCCAUGCCGCGUGUGUGAAGAAGGCCUUCGGGUUGUAAGGCACUUUCAGCGAGGAGGAAGGUGGUGAGCUUAAUACGCUCAUCAAUUGACGUUACUCGCAGAAGAAGCACCGGCUAACUCCGUGCCAGCAGCCGCGGUAAUACGGAGGGUGCAAGCGUUAAUCGGAAUUACUGGGCGUAAAGCGCACGCAGGCGGUUUGUUAAGUCAGAUGUGAAAUCCCCGGGCUCAACCUGGGAACUGCAUUUGAAACUGGCAAGCUAGAGUCUCGUAGAGGGGGGUAGAAUUCCAGGUGUAGCGGUGAAAUGCGUAGAGAUCUGGAGGAAUACCGGUGGCGAAGGCGGCCCCCUGGACGAAGACUGACGCUCAGGUGCGAAAGCGUGGGGCAGCAAACAGGAUUAGAUACCCUGGUAGUCCACGCUGUAAACGAUGUCGAUUUUGGAGGUUGUGCCCUUGAGGCGUGGCUUCCGGAGCUAACGCGUUAAAUCGACCGCCUGGGGAGUACGGCCGCAAGGUUAAAACUCAAAGGAAUUG
rnacentral:rRNA from 1 species